AUUGAACGCUGGCGGCAGGCCUAACACAUGCAAGUCGAGCGGAUGAAGGGAGCUUGCUCCUGGAUUCAGCGGCGGACGGGUGAGUAAUGCCUAGGAAUCUGCCUGGUAGUGGGGGAUAACGUCCGGAAACGGGCGCUAAUACCGCAUACGUCCUGAGGGAGAAAGUGGGGGAUCUUCGGACCUCACGCUAUCAGAUGAGCCUAGGUCGGAUUAGCUAGUUGGUGGGGUAAAGGCCUACCAAGGCGACGAUCCGUAACCGGUCUGAGAGGAUGAUCAGUCACACUGGAACUGAGACACGGACCAGACUCCUACGGGAGGCAGCAGUGGGGAAUAUUGGACAAUGGGCGAAAGCCUGAUCCAGCCAUGCCGCGUGUGUGAAGAAGGUCUUCGGAUUGUAAAGCACUUUAAGUUGGGAGGAAGGGCAGUAAGUUAAUACCUUGCUGUUUUGACGUUACCAACAGAAUAAGCACCGGCUAACUUCGUG
rnacentral:rRNA from 1 species